rnacentral:rRNA from 1 species
AGAGUUUGAUCCUGGCUCAGAUUGAACGCUGGCGGCAGGCCUAACACAUGCAAGUCGAGCGGAAACGAGUUAUCUGAACCUUCGGGGAACGAUAACGGCGUCGAGCGGCGGACGGGUGAGUAAUGCCUAGGAAAUUGCCCUGAUGUGGGGGAUAACCAUUGGAAACGAUGGCUAAUACCGCAUGAUGCCUACGGGCCAAAGAGGGGGACCUUCGGGCCUCUCGCGUCAGGAUAUGCCUAGGUGGGAUUAGCUAGUUGGUGAGAUAAGGGCUCACCAAGGCGACGAUCCCUAGCUGGUCUGAGAGGAUGAUCAGCCACACUGGAACUGAGACACGGUCCAGACUCCUACGGGAGGCAGCAGUGGGGAAUAUUGCACAAUGGGCGCAAGCCUGAUGUAGCCAUGCCGCGUGUAUGAAGAAGGCCUUCGGGUUGUAAAGUACUUUCAGCAGUGAGGAGGGUUCAUACGUUAAUAGCGUAUGGAUUUGACGUUAGCUGCAGAAGAAGCACCGGCUAACUCCGUGCCAGCAGCCGCGGUAAUACGGAGGGUGCGAGCGUUAAUCGGAAUUACUGGGCGUAAAGCGCAUGCAGGUGGUUUGUUAAGUCAGAUGUGAAAGCCCGGGGCUCAACCUCGGAAUAGCAUUUGAAACUGGCAGACUAGAGUACUGUAGAGGGGGGUAGAAUUUCAGUGUAGCGGUGAAAUGCGUAGAGAUCUGAAAGGAAUACCGGUGGCGAAGCGGCCCCCUGGACAGAUACUGACACUCAGAUGCGAAAGCGUGG